UACCUUGAACCAAAAUCUUCGCGUUCACAUAACCGCUGAGGCUGCCCACCAAAGUAGCACUAUUUGUGUUUCGAAUAUAAGAUAACAUUGAUCUACAUUUAGAAAUCGUUUUUCUGCUGUCGGAAUUGAACCAACUUCGUAAAAUCAACGACGAGCAGACUAAAAGUAUCGAAAACUUGAAAAGGGGAAAUGCUGCGACUGGACAAAAUAAAAAACGAGAUUCUAAUCCUUGUGAUACCAACCCGUGUGGUAACAAUGCAAUAUGCAAACGUUUAGGCAAUGAAAAGUACGACUGUAAAUGUCAAAAACCAUACACGCAAAAUGGACCAACGUGUGAGAUUAAAGAUGGACAGCUGAGACUCGCAGGAGGAAAUUCUGACAGCGAAGGGAGACUGGAAGUGUUCCAUGCAGGAGAAUGGGGAACAAUAUGUGGAUACCUUUGGGGAAUGGAUGAGGCAUACUUAGCUUGUCGGGAACUAGGAUUCAAUAAAGCGAAAGAAGCGGGAGUCGGAUUUCGAUUCGGUGAAGGAAAAGGGAAAAUAUGGCUGAUCUCAAUUCACUGCGAUAGAGAGGUUACACAGUUCGAAUCGUGUCGUGGCGUCGGGAAGUAUGGACCGUAAAAUGCAUUGUGCACUCACGACAACGAUGCGUCAGUAGUCUGCGAAUAGUGCCGCUCAACUAUUUUCUAUCAAUAAUCCGUAUACAAAUCUACAAAAUUUCUGCGGCCCGGUUUUUCAUAAAAAUAUAUUGCGACUGGAUACCUUUCAGUGCUUUUAACUCUGACAUGGACAAACUACGGCCCAGGGGCCAAUAGGUAAUUUUCUCCAACCAAAGUUUGAUGUUUUAUCUAAAAACAAAUAGCUCAGGAAAUUCGUUGAUAUUGGUAUUGCCAGUUGAGUAGCCAGUUGUGUAUUGUGUUGAUUAAAAUGACAUGCUUGAUUUCCUGAUGUAAAUUUGGUUAAACAAAUUGAAGAAAUACGGCAAAUAAAACGUUGUGGAAGUUAAAUUAAGAUUUACUCUUUAUUCAUAUACGUCUCAUACAAGUCACCGUCUCUGAUUAAUAUACUGGAGCA